UGCUGAGUCACGUGACAGGUGGCGGCUGGGGGCUCCAUCCUCCACAGAGAACGGGGAGGGGGUCCUCCGCAGCCCCUUAUCCCUCCCCCACCCCAACGAGCUAAAUCCUCCAGGGUGUCGGAGCCCACGUGGGCCAGAAGCCCUCUCCCGCCCGCCCAGGGAGGCAGGGGAGCCGGUGGGUGGGGCAGCCGUGAGCAUCUCCCAGGUGCAAGGUCGGCCCAGAGGCCCUGGCCCCGGAGCCUCCAGGCAGACCCAGGGCACCAGCAGGGAGGGCACCGCAGCAGGCAGUGGCACAAAGCCGGUCCCUGCCCGCACACCUGGAACCCACGCGCCCGUCUGACCCAGCACCUGCUUGGCCCCACAGGUAUGCCUGGGGUGGACACAGUGGCAAGGCAGGUGGCAGGCCCCCGGGCACAGCUCUGUGCCUGAGGAGGAGUGGGAGCACGAGGUCCCCCAGGAUGAUGCGUAGCAUCUGAUCACUGUCGUCGGCAGUGGAGGGUGGUUUCGUCCCUGGGAGGCAGAGGGGACAUCCGUGACGGUGAACACCUGCUCGACCCCUGCCCGUGGUCAAGUCCCCUCCCCUUUCUGGGCACUGCUUUCCUCAUUGGUA
rnacentral:lncRNA from 1 species